rnacentral:piRNA from 2 species
UGCAGUGACCAGUUCUAGCUCAAAGUA